rnacentral:rRNA from 1 species
UACGGGAGGCAGCAGUGGGGAAUAUUGCACAAUGGGCGCAAGCCUGAUGCAGCCAUGCCGCGUGUAUGAAAAAGGCCUUCGGGUUGUAAAGUACUUUCAGUCGUGAGGAAGGUGUUAAGGUUAAUAACCUUAGCAAUUGACGUUAGCGACAGAAGAAGCACCGGCUAACUCCGUGCCAGCAGCCGCGGUAAUACGGAGGGUGCGAGCGUUAAUCGGAAUUACUGGGCGUAAAGGGCACGCAGGCGGUUAAUUAAGUUGGAUGUGAAAUCCCCGGGCUUAACCUGGGAAUGGCAUUCAAGACUGGUUAGCUAGAGUCUUGUAGAGGGGGGUAGAAUUCCAUGUGUAGCGGUGAAAUGCGUAGAGAUGUGGAGGAAUACCGGUGGCGAAGGCGGCCCCUGGACAAAGACUGACGCUCAUGUGCGAAAGCGUGGGGAGCAAACGAGGGA